CGUGUAGGCGGUUUGGUCAAGUCGGGUGUGAAAGCCUGGGCUCAGCCCCAGAAGUGCGUCCGAAACUAGCCAGCUAGAGCGCGAUAGAGGAGGGUGGAAUUCCUGGUGUAGCGGUGAAAUGCGUAGAUAUCAGGAGGAACACCGGCGGCGAAGGCGGCCCUCUGGAUCGUUGCUGACGCUGAGACGCGAAAGCGUGGGGAGCAAACAGGAUUAGAUACCCUGGUAGUCCACGCCUUAAACGAUAGGUACUAGGUGUUCGGGGUGUUGACCCCCUGAGUGCCGCAGUUAACGCAUUAAGUACCCCGCCUGGGGACUACGGCCGCAAGGUUAAA
rnacentral:rRNA from 1 species